GCCUGAAUAGUUCCAGCUGGUUAGAGCAUGGUGCUGAUAAUUGCCAAGGUUGCAGGUUCUAUCCCUGUGUGGGACA